CACGUAGGCACCGAGCGUUGUCCGGAUUUAUUGGGCGUAAAGAGCUCGUAGGCGGUUGAGUAAGUCGGGUGUGAAAACUCUGGGCUUAACCCAGAGCCGCCACUCGAUACUGCUCUGACUUGAGUUCGGUAGGGGAGCAGGGAAUUCCUAGUGUAGCGGUGAAAUGCGCAGAUAUUAGGAGGAACACCGGUGGCGAAGGCGCUGCUCUGGGCCGAAAUUGACGCUGAGGAGCGAAAGCGUGGGUAGCAAACAGG
rnacentral:rRNA from 1 species